AGCCUGUAAUAAAUGCAACUUUCAGAAAUAACAGAACUUUGAAUUAAUUCUAAGCAAAACUAAAUGAAAUAUUAAUUCACAAAAAUAUUUUAUUUAGUUUUGCUUAGAAUUAAUUCACGGAUCUGUUAUUUCUGAGAUUUGCAUUUUUUACAGGCUAAUAACCUAAUUUAAUUCCUAACCUAAUAAGAAUGUAAUUAUUCAAUAACAAAUCUAAUAACAGUUUUAUAACAACUAUAUUGCAUGUUAUUUGCAUGAUAUAUCUAUUUUAUAUAACAGUUACGUGGCAUUUUAGUACCGCGUUAUAUUUAUGUGAUAGAACUGCAACAAGCCUGUGAGUGGGAAAUUACAACUAACAAUUGUAUUACAUGUAACGUACAUGUUACAUUACAUGUUACAUUCUGUUUUAUUGUUGCAAUAUAGUUGUUAUAUAUCUAUGUUUGCUGGGUUCAUUUUGACAAUCAGCCUUCUAUAUACUUGUGUUAUAGAUUUUCCUAUUGGCCGGUCGAAAAAGGAAAAAAAGUACAACAAGCAACUAUUUGAUCUCGACCGAUUCUACGGAUCUUUCAAGAGGGGGAAAGUCUUUUGUUGGUAAACUCCAGUCGAAUUUUCUGGGAACGCAAUUCUCGGUCUACGACAAUGGAUGCUCGUUGAUGAAGGAUGAUAAACGCGACGAGCGCUAUAAUAAUCCGCGACAAGAAUUGGCCACAGUGGUGUACGACACAAAUGUUUUAGGUUUUAAGGGACCGUUUAAAACAACAGUCAUUAUACCAGGUAUGACUCCUGAUCAGAAACGAGUGGAGAUAUGCCGCGAGAUGAAUGUACCUUGCUUCAACGCUGGAAAUCGAAACAUAUGGACAGCUUAAUAAAGUUACAUAAUAAGACUAUAGUAUGGAUACACAGUCCUAUGUGCUUAACUUCCAUGGACGAGUAACUCAGGCAUCUGUAAAAAAUUUCUAAGUCGUCCAUGACACCGAUGUGGAUUAUGUUGUAAUGCAGUUCGGACAUGUCGCGAAGGAUGUGUUUACGAUGGAUUACAGAUUUUCCCUUUGUUGUAUAGUCCAGGCGUUCGCCAUUGCUGUAAGUAGUUUCGAUAGUAAAUUAGCAUGCGAAUAACAACGUGGCCGAACGUCACCGAUCGAACACUAUCUAAAGUUAAGUAUAUACUUGCCUACAAAUUAUGUCAUUCUAAAUCGUUAGCUCUUUAACAAUCAAUAAGAUCUGGUACCAGUCUCGACAUGGUACUCGGCGUAUCGAAUUGUUUUAUAAUAAUUCGAUCACGAUAAAACGUAACGAGAAUUACUAUAAAUGUGUGUUCACUUUUCGUAUUUCAUAAUAAAUCUAUUUUUAUAUUAAAGAUAUGCGAGAUGACGACUUUUCAGCAUAUAAAAAUGUUGAAUUUGCAUAAGAAUCUUGAUAAUGCUGGCAUUAUACUCAAAAUAUCGCGCGUUAUAUUUUGGCCAAUUUCAUUAUUUGAAGUUAAUUAUCGACAUGAAGCAAUCGUAUUGCUCGUUCGUCAUAUCGUAAAAAUGAUAUAAAUUCCUUGGCCAGUAAUUCGGAAUAUACGCAGUAUACAUUUGAACACAUUUGAAGUAUUUUCAUAAAUAUAAUUCAUAAACACAGGGUGUUUAUAAAUGAUGAAUCAUAAGUAUAUGAUUUUACAGUGCCUUUGUACAUGAUAUUUAUUGUGCAUAAAAAAAUUAUAUUUGUCAGUUUUUUUGUCGACAAAUAGCAAAAAUAGAACACA